rnacentral:rRNA from 1 species
UACGUAGGGUGCAAGCGUUGUCCGGAAUUAUUGGGCGUAAAGAGCUUGUAGGCGGUUUGUCGCGUCUGCUGUGAAAUUUCGGGGCUCAACCCCGAACUUGCAGUGGGUACGGGCAGGCUAGAGUGUGGUAGGGGAGACUGGAAUUCCUGGUGUAGCGGUGAAAUGCGCAGAUAUCAGGAGGAACACCGGUGGCGAAGGCGGGUCUCUGGGCAACAACUGACGCUGAGGAGCGAAAGCGUGGGGAGCGAACAGG